AGUGAACGCUGGCGGUAGGCCUAACACACGCAAGUCGAACGGCAGCACAGUAAGAGCUUGCUCUUACGGGUGGCGAGUGGCGGACGGGUGAGGAAUACAUCGGAAUCUACUUUUUCGUGGGGGAUAACGUAGGGAAACUUACGCUAAUACCGCAUACGACCUACGGGUGAAAGCAGGGGAUCUUCGGACCUUGCGCGAUUGAAUGAGCCGAUGCCGGAUUAGCUAGUUGGCGGGGUAAAGGCCCACCAAGGCGACGAUCCGUAGCUGGUCUGAGAGGAUGAUCAGCCACACUGGAACUGAGACACGGUCCAGACUCCUACGGGAGGCAGCAGUGGGGAAUAUUGGACAAUGGGCGCAAGCCUGAUCCAGCCAUACCGCGUGGGUGAAGAAGGCCUUCGGGUUGUAAAGCCCUUUUGUUGGGAAAGAAAAGCAGCAGGUUAAUACCCCGCUGUUCUGACGGUACCCAAAGAAUAAGCACCGGCUAACUUCGUG
rnacentral:rRNA from 1 species